AUUGAACGCUGGCGGCAUGCCUUACACAUGCAAGUCGAACGGCAGCAUGGAGAGCUUGCUCUCUGAUGGCGAGUGGCGAACGGGUGAGUAAUGCAUCGGAACGUACCGUGUAAUGGGGGAUAACGUAGCGAAAGUUACGCUAAUACCGCAUACGACCUGCGGGUGAAAACAGGGGAUCGCAAGACCUUGCGUUAUCCGAGAGGCCGAAGUCAGAUUAGCUAGUUGGGGAGGUAAAGGCUCACCAAGGCGACGAUCUGUAGCGGGUCUGAGAGGAUGAUCCGCCACACUGGGACUGAGACACGGCCCAGACUCCUACGGGAGGCAGCAGUGGGGAAUUUUGGACAAUGGGGGCAACCCUGAUCCAGCCAUGCCGCGUGAGUGAAGAAGGCCUUCGGGUUGUAAAGCUCUUUCGGCCGGGAAGAAAUCGCACAGGCUAAUACUCUGUGUGGAUGACGGUACCCGCAUAAGGAGCACCGGCUAACUGCGUGCCAGCCGCCGCAGUAA
rnacentral:rRNA from 1 species